rnacentral:rRNA from 1 species
UGGGGGAUAUUGCACAAUGGGCGAAAGCCUGAUGCAGCGACGCCGCGUGGGGGAUGAAGGCCUUCGGGUUGUAAACUUCUUUUGCCCUGAACAAGGCGCACCAUGGGGUGUGUUGAGUGUAGGGGUUGAUUAGCGUCGGCUAACUACGUGCCAGCAGCCGCGGUAAUACGUAGGGCGCGAGCGUUGUCCGGAAUUAUUGGGCGUAAAGGGCUUGUAGGUGGCUGGUUGCGUCUGUCGUGAAAGCUCAUGGCUUAACUGUGGGUUUGCGGUGGGUACGGGCUGGCUUGAGUGCAGUAGGGGAGGCUGGAAUUCCUGGUGUAGCGGUGGAAUGCGCAGAUAUCAGGAGGAAUACCGGUGGCGAAGGCGGGUCUCUGGGCUGUUACUGACACUGAGGAGCGAAAGCAUGGGGAGCGAACAGG